GACGAACGCUGGCGGCGUGCUUAACACAUGCAAGUCGAACGGAAAGGCCCUGCUUUUGUGGGGUGCUCGAGUGGCGAACGGGUGAGUAACACGUGAGUAACCUGCCCUUGACUUUGGGAUAACUUCAGGAAACUGGGGCUAAUACCGGAUAGGAGCUCCUGCUGCAUGGUGGGGGUUGGAAAGUUUCGGCGGUUGGGGAUGGACUCGCGGGUUAUCAGCUUGUUGGUGGGGUAGUGGCUUACCAAGGCUUUGACGGGUAGCCGGCCUGAGAGGGGGACCGGCCCCAUUGGGACUGAGAUACGGCCCAGACGCCUACGGGAGGCAGCAGUGGGGAAUAUUGCACAAUGGGCGGAAGCCUGAUACAGCAACGCCGCGUGCGGGAUGACGGCCUUCGGGUUGUAAACCGCUUUCGCCUGUGACGAAGCGGGAGUGACGGUAAUGAGUAAAGAAGCACCGGCUAACUACGUG
rnacentral:rRNA from 1 species